AGAAGAGAUGCUUUGUGUAAUCUGGGAAGCUGCAGAAAAAUGGAGGAGGGGUUGUUACAGUGGCUAGAAAGAUCUGGUGCCAAGAGAAGAACAUGUGAACCAGAACUGCUUUCCUUUCCUUCCUGCACGAUGCUGAGUGAAGAGAAUUGAGGAAUGGCUUCUUCAUUGUUUUGCUGCACCAAAGUAACACUGGGUGGGAAAAAAAAGUGAACUGGAAUGUAACCCAACUUGUCCUGUACCCCAAAAGACUUUCCAGUAGGAAAUGAAGUUUUGAAAUUGUGAUCAAGUUCUUCAUCUAGAGUGUCUUGGUUCAUCCUUGAUAUUCCCUUCUCUGAAGACUUAUAAUAAGCAGACCCACUCACAGUAAUGUCUCAUGAGCACAGGUUCCUUGAAG
rnacentral:lncRNA from 1 species